rnacentral:rRNA from 1 species
GUGCCAGCCGCCGCGGUAUACGGGGGGAGCAAGCGUUGUUCGGAUUUACUGGGCGUAAAGGGCGCGUAGGCGGCCACCGCAAGUCGGUUGUGAAAUCUCCGGGCUUAACCCGGAAAGGUCAACCGAUACUGCGGGGCUAGAGUGCAGAAGGGGCAACUGGAAUUCUCGGUGUAGCGGUGAAAUGCGUAGAUAUCGAGAGGAACACCUGCGGCGAAGGCGGGUUGCUGGGCUGACACUGACGCUGAAGUGCGAAAGCUAGGGGAGCGAACGGGAUUAGAAACCCUGGUAGUCA